AAAAUAAGGCUGAGACCUACUGAAGCAGGACAUUUCACUGACCCCUUUGUGGAACUCGCAACAGGGGUGCCCCGUUUACUCAGCCCACAGCUCUCAACUCCUCAUAGGAGGGAGUGAGCAAGCCAACAAGGCGGGAACUGGAAUACACGAGUGCUAGAAUCAGCUGGCUACUUCAUAGCUGGCAAGAGCAAACUCCACUCACUCAGACCCGCUGCUUUCCACCCCUCGUCGGACAGGGCACACAGGUAACCAAAGAAUCUGACCCAUAGGGUUUCUAACUCACAAAAGGAGGGUCCAACUAUGUGGAAGCUGUCACCUUUGAUGGAAUUUAUCUGAUACCAUAUAACAUAGUGGAAGGAGAGUCAAAGAAUUUGUGGCUAUUUUAAGUCACACAUCAUUUCUUUUUCCAUGCCCCACCCCUGGAACCUUCUCAAGGUGUUUGACUUCAACCAGAGUUGAAGAUCCCCCAUCUGCAAUACUGCUGCACCCCCACCUCAAGCCCCAGCUGAUUGAACCCCAGGUGGAUUCCUGAUUCAGGCAAUCCACAGGCUGGGCUGAAGCAAUCAUGAUGUCUCUCUAAGGAAUAUUAAUUAAAAGCCACAGAGACCCCAGUCAGUUUUAAGGAGGUGUGCCGCCAGAAACCAGGGUCAGCACCAUACCAAACCAAAGUUAUGGAGGAGUAAAAACCAAAAGUCUUGCAGAAGCAGCAGAUUUGGAGACAAAAAAAGCAGAACCCACAUGCAGAAAGAAAAGAGAGGCACCACGUGACCCUUGAGACAAAGUGACAGACAUUCCAGUGCUGCCAGACAGAUUUCCAGUAUCUGUGAGGUCCUGCUGUGCACCAGAGAAGAGAGUUCUGGGAAAACCCCUGCUAUGGGUUGAACUGUAUUCCCCAAACAUUCAUAUGUUGGAGCCUUAACCUCCAGGACCUUAGAAUGGGACCUUACUUGGAAAUAGAGUCAUUGCAGAUGUAAUUAGUUAAGCUGAGUUCCUACUGGAGUAGGGUGGGCCCCUAAUCCAAUAUAUUGUUGUCCUUAUAAAAAGGGGAAGUCUGGAGAAUAGUUAUCCUUCCAAGAUAAACUAUUUGCCAAAUAUGUAACAGAGUAACCAGCCAUUUCCAUAUGGGAUUUCUAGUCAUUUCCCAGUUAAAAAUUAAGGAAUAGGUACACGCAGUAAGAGCACUCAGUGAAGAUGAGGGCAGAGAUCAAGAUGCCACAUCUACAAACCAAGGAACACCAAAGAUUGCCAGAAACUAUCAGAAGCUAGGGGAAAGGCAUGGAACAGUUACUUCUUCACAGCCGUCAGAAGGAACCAACCCUGUUGACACCCGGACCUCAGACGUGAAGCCUCCAGAACCGUGAGAUACAAAAUUCCUGUUGUUUAAGCCACUCAGUUUGUGGUACUUUGUUAUGGCAGCUCUGGAAAAUGAAUAUGACCCCUAUAACUGCAUUUCCAUGUGAGCUCAUUUAAGUGGGUGUCUGUUCCUUGAAGAAGAAAAAUGAUAUGAAUCAAAACAUCCCACCUAAACUGCCUUUGCUCUGAGCAGAGGGAACACCCUCUGGCAGAGCCAGGGUUCUUCUCAGAAAAUUAUUCCCAGUCUCCUCCAGGACUAAGAUAAAUGAAUGAGCAAAGUUUAAAAGUUCUCUUCUAAAGAACAUGGUCAAAAUAGUUUUAGCCUGUAAAAUUUGAAGGCAGAUAAAACCAGAAUUCAGCCUUGGCAGAAUAAACUCUCAAUAAAGUAACCUCAGAUCCUUAGCUCCGAACACCACUUUUUUUUUUCCUGUAUUCCUUCCAAGAUAAACUAUUAGCCAGAUAUGUAACAGAGUAACCAGUCAUUUUUAUAUGGGAUUGUUAUUCAUUGCCCAGUUGAAAAUUAAAGAAUCAGUACAAAAAAAAAAAAAACAAAACACUUUUGUUCUAGGAAAGAGAAUCAGAUAUCCUUUUUUAGCAAUAAUUAACUAGCAAGGUCGUGCUGUCACCACGGUUUUUAAAAUACCCUUUUGUCUUUCAUGGCAAGUGUAUGCAUCUAGACCAUCUGAAAGUGGCUCUAGAACAUGAAAAUAUAAAUGUAAAACAAGAAAGGGGCAGGAAAAGAAUGAGGAGCAGGCAAAACAUAACCACGUGUUGGCUAUUUCUAACUCCCUGGUCCAGGAGUACUCAUUAAUCACUCUAAUCCCACAGAAGUAUAAUGAUUCUGAAUAUCUACAUAUGCCACAAAUUAUCUAAUACUGUUCCUGAUUUACUAGGUGUGGAGUGGCCAUAUAUAAAACCUGACUGUUACUCACAUAAAAUAUUGGCCUGAAACUCUCAGACUUCGAAGCAAGUAGCAGAUUUGGAUGGAAUACACCACAAAUUAAUAAAGCCAUAAUCUAGAGAAGGUAAUAAAUUGACUUUUUAAAUAUGAGAUACUCUAAACUCUGGCUUCAGUGGGGAAGAGUUUUUUUUUUUUACUUCAAGUUAUGCUGAUUUAAUUACAAAAUAAGCUUUUCCAAGGCACUGGCCUUUGUAAUGAAGGUAAAUAUUACAUGUUUGCUAAAAAACAGGGUUUUAUAAAACUCCUCACCUCAUAUAAACAAUUGUAAGUCUUUUGUUUUUUCCAGAAAAAAAAAAACUUUCACUAAGUAUUAGUCACUCAUAUAUCUAUAAAUCUCAGAGGAAUUUCCCCAAGCACUCUGGCUUCCCAAGUAGGAGAUUGUUUCUCCUAGUUCAAGUCUCAUUUCACUGUUAGGCUGGCUGUUAUUUCAUGGUGACUUGCCAUGUUAAUAGUAUGUCUUCUAAUCCACGAAUGUGAUAUAGCUCUCCAACUUAUUUGAGUCCUCUUCAGUUUUACUCAACAGUGUUUUGUAGUUUUCUGUGUAUAGGUUUUGGAAAUCCAUAAUUAAAUUUAUCCUUGGGUAUUCUAUGGUUCUUUGUUAUUAUGAAUUGUAUUUUUUAUCUCAUUUCCCAAUUGUUUUGCUGGUAUACAGAAAUAUAAUUUAUUUACCUAUAUGGACCUGGAAAAUUACAGCUUUGUUAAUUAAAUUCAACUAGUUAUAUUAGUUGUUUUGCAGAUUCCUUAG
rnacentral:lncRNA from 1 species